UCCCCAGUGGCGCAAUUGGUUAGCGCACGGUACUUAUAAGACAGUACUUGUGAGUAAUGCCGGGGUUGUGAGUUCGAGCCUCACCUGGGGAA
rfam:Stegodyphus mimosarum contig127688, whole genome shotgun sequence.